rnacentral:sRNA from 1 species
UUGAUUGAUUGAAUUGACGCAGACGACGC